AAAAACAAAAAUAUUCAUGUCCUGACGUACGAACAAAUGAUGAUAUAGCAACCACCAAGAUCUCUGAACGCCGUGAUUAAUAUAUUUGCUAUUCUGAGUCAAGUCCCACCCACAUUGGCCAAUCACCUGACGAAUGGCCACCCUAACACCUCAAUUUACGUUCCAGAUGCAGCUGCAGGGCGUUGGGCUAUUGCAUCACUGGACUUUCCUGAUUACCUCACCAGGUUCAAGGAUGUGGUCGAGGUGAUCCAGACGUUGGAAAAAUUCAACAUGAAUUACAAGAGUUGACUGUAUUAUUUAAUUUUAAUAAACGAAAUAAUGCCUUCACAA